AUACGAACUGUGCGAACGUUAUUCGGAAUCACUGGGCUUAAAGGGUGCGUAGGCGGGUUUAAAGGUCUGAUGUGAAAGCCCACGGCUCAACCGUGGAAUUGCGUUGGAAACCAUGAACCUUGAGGAGAUCAGAGGUGAGCGGAACUGAUGGUGGAGCGGUGAAAUGCGUUGAUAUCAUCAGGAACACCGGUGGCGAAAGCGGCUCGCUGGGAUCUUUCUGACGCUGAGGCACGAAAGCUAGGGGAGCGAACGGGAUUAGAUACCCCGGUAGUCC
rnacentral:rRNA from 1 species